rnacentral:rRNA from 1 species
AUGGAUCGAGUCGAGGGAUUGAUGAAGGGCCUCAAGCUGUCUGAUUUGGAGAGUAAGGGUAGGAAGAUUGCUUGGGCUGGAGGGGGGAAGGAUGGGGUUGUGGAACCACAAGCUGUAGCAAAAUUAUUGUCGGAUAAACCAGCUUUUGCGGAAGGAAUGGGGAUUGCCCUUGGGAAACUCUGGUGCCCGCUGAGAGGCCUGGGUUGCAAGGAUCUGGGCGAAAAUAGAUUCAUGUUCACCUUUCGUCAGCAUUCAGGUAAAAGGAAAGCGUUGGACGAAGGCCCAUGGAUGUUCGGAAAAUCCUUGCUAGUGAUUGAGGAUUAUGACCCAACAAAAAGCAUAAAGGAGUAUGAGUUCAGAAGAAUCCCUGUUUGGGUCCGAGUCUAUGACCUGCCUUUGGGAAUGAUGUGUAGGGAU